rnacentral:lncRNA from 1 species
GGAAUACUUAUAUUCUUUCAGCUUAUAAUUAUAAUUGCUAUUACUUGCUGGGCACUCAAAUGCUCAUCCUUGCUUAAAUCAAAUGUUUUCAGUUAUGUAUGAGCAACCUGAAGGCUCAGGCACGAACAAAGGAAAAGGAAAGCUGAUCGAAUAAGUGUGUAUUAUGAGUUAAUGGUUAUAGCUGUAUGGAUAUCUAUUCAAGUAUUGUAAGGAAUGUAUUUGAAGGUCUCGUACCUGGGAAGUAAACUUUGAUGUAUGUAAAUUAAGUUUGAAUGUAAUAUUACUAUUGUAUUAUUCAGCUUAUAGAAAUGGUAUCGUGAAGCACUGAGUUCGGGUUUCAAGUACCCGGAUUUGGGGGCGUCACAGGUUGGUAUCAAAGCUGUAGGUUAUAAACGUUAGGAGUGCGAAACCUAGGUUAUAACCUUAGUAGAAUGGAGGACGAAAGUUAAGAUAAAUAUUCAGUGAACCAGGAGACGAAGUACUCUGGUGAGGAGUUAUAAGAUAUGAUGAGUCGAAGAGAUCCAUCAAGUUUUAGUUGUACUAAAUAAAAUAUUCCUUUAUUUUACCAAUGAAUAUAUUUUAUUUCGGUGCUAAUGUUGUCUCGUUUAUUGUGGUCAUAGGAUGGAUGACGAAAGUCAAAGUAGCAAUUCCUUGACCCAAGAGACGAUGGACUCUAGCGAGGAGUAUACAGACAGUGAGAUGAUAAGAGAUUUGUUAGUUAGAAACGACGACUUAACGGCUAGAGCUGAGCAAGCGGAGGCACAUAAUCGUACUCUCCAGAUUUCAGAACAACAGUACAAGGACGCUGCUCACCGAACACAGAUGGAGUUAGCAGAGUUGCGAGGGAGGUUGGAACAGAG